AACGAACGCUGGCGGCAUGCCUAACACAUGCAAGUCGAACGAGACCUUCGGGUCUAGUGGCGCACGGGUGCGUAACGCGUGGGAACCUUCCCUUAGGUUCGGAAUAACUCCCCGAAAGGGGUGCUAAUACCGGAUAAUGUCUUCGGACCAAAGAUUUAUCGACUUUGGAUGGGCCCGAGUUGGAUUAGCUAGUUGUUAGGGUAAAAGCCUACCAAGGCGACGAUCCAUAGCUGGUCUGAGAGGAGGAUCAGCCACACUGGGACUGAGACACGGCCGAGAAUCCUACGGGAGGCAGCAGUGGGGAAUAUUGGACAAUGGGCGAAAGGAUGAUCCAGCAAUGCCGCGUGAGUGAUGAAGGCAUUAGGGUUGUAAAGCUUUUUUACCCGGGAUGAUAAUGACAGUACCGGGAGAAUAAGCUACGGCUAACUCCGUG
rnacentral:rRNA from 1 species